AACAACGGAGAGUUUGAUCCUGGCUCAGGAUGAACGCUAGCGACAGGCUUAACACAUGCAAGUCGAGGGGCAGCAGGGCUGAAGCUUGCUUCAGCUGCUGGCGACCGGCGCACGGGUGAGUAACACGUAUGCAACCUGCCCUUAACAGGGGGAUAAGCGGAAGAAAUUCCGUCUAAUACCGCAUAAUCUCCUCUUGGGACAUCCCUUGGGGAGCAAAGGAGCAAUCCGGUUAAGGAUGGGCAUGCGUCGCAUUAGCUAGUCGGCGGGGUAACGGC
rnacentral:rRNA from 1 species